GGCGGGUUGGAGAAGUUAGGUAUCUCGUCUGGCUCAUGACCAGAAGAUCCCCCGUUCGAAUCGGGGACCCGCUACCA
rnacentral:tRNA from 1 species